rnacentral:rRNA from 1 species
AGUGAACGCUGGCGGUAGGCCUAACACAUGCAAGUCGAACGGCAGCACAGUAAGAGCUUGCUCUUACGGGUGGCGAGUGGCGGACGGGUGAGGAAUACAUCGGAAUCUACUUUUUCGUGGGGGAUAACGUAGGGAAACUUACGCUAAUACCGCAUACGACCUACGGGUGAAAGCAGGGGAUCUUCGGACCUUGCGCGAUUGAAUGAGCCGAUGUCGGAUUAGCUAGUUGGCGGGGUAAAGGCCCACCAAGGCGACGAUCCGUAGCUGGUCUGAGAGGAUGAUACGCCACACUGGAACUGAGACACGGUCCAGACUCCUACGGGAGGCAGCAGUGGGGAAUAUUGGACAAUGGGCGCAAGCCUGAUCCAGCCAUACCGCGUGGGUGAAGAAGGCCUUCGGGUUGUAAAGCCCUUUUGUUGGGAAAGAAAAGCAGCAGGUUAAUACCCCGCUGUUCUGACGGUACCCAAAGAAUAAGCACCGGCUAACUUCGUG